rnacentral:lncRNA from 1 species
GCCACCGGGGAUCCCUCCCUCUGUCUCAGUCUCCCAACCACCAAGAGCCAAGUGCUCCCGAGAAGAAGAUCUUUCGGACAGAUCCAAACACAGGGGCACCGCCAGGGUAGCGGUGCGGCUAGUCCCGCUGCCUUACCUGGAGCAAGGACCAGGAGGUGGUGCCGGUCUCGGUCCCCUCCGCUCUCCCCGGUGCGGACCGGUGAGCGGCACACGCGGACUCUCUCGCUGCCUCCGCUCUCGGAGGGGCAGCCUGUAACACAAAAGGGGUGUGUGGGUGUGGGUGUGUGGGAGGUUUUCCAGGGCCACCAGCUGGUCCCAGCCGGCCGCCCCCACCCUACACACACACCCCUGGAGGGUGCUGAGCCCCUCUCUGCGCUGAGCACCACCCCGGGAGCGUGCCCAGGGUGCAGCCUCAAGUUGCUGCUGCUAAGUGCCGCUGCCGCCGCAGGAGAGGGAGGUGGAAAGACACUGGGGGCAGUACUCGGUCUAGAGCAUCCCCACACUGCAGCUUCUCCAGGAAUCCCUCCACUGAGGAGGCGGCCGCCCAUCAUCUCCCAGCCCCGGCAGCCUGAUUGGUUCCAGCACGAGUACGCUGCGUCCAGGAGCCAAUCCGCGCGCACUAAUAAUAGGUGGAUCCGCUCGGCCAGCAUCGCCCAUCCCAGUUCUGUUGGUGUCUCUCCAUCCCCUCAGCGGACAGGGACCCGAGAGGGGGAUGGAGGGGUGGGGGAGGGGGGCGAACUCAGAGGGGAACAGUUCCCAAGGAGACACAAUCAAGGGCAUCUGAUAAGCCCCUGGGUAGGCUCAGGGAUGCCCCGCAACCUGUUCAGCAAGCCGUUGGCACGGGAGGAGACACAGCACAAUACAAAGCUUUUUUUUUUUUUUUUUUUGUUUUUUUACUCAAAACCUGCCCUGAUACUGAGCAUGCCCAGACUGCCACAGUGCCCUAGGAGUUUCGAUGUGUGUGGGUUCGCCGGCCGUGGGUUCGGUUUUUUGAAAAGGUGGGCGCGCAGGGAAGGGAGACAGGCAGAAGUUUGUCUUUGGCCGUUUGACCCAGCCGAGUUGGGAAAGCAGGGCAGGGAGGGGACUGAAAGGAGGCUGCGCAAGUGUGCUCCAGCCGAGCUGCAGGGAGGUGGCCCUGGAGGCGGUGGGAGGCUAAUCAGAUCGUUCCCUCGCGGGGACCCCAGGCUUGGAAGCGGGAGUAGGAAACCACUGCAAGCCGAGAGACAGGAGACUCGCCCCGAAGGGUGCGGUGGCCCAAAGAUGCAGGCGAAGCUGCGUCCCAUAGGUGGGGCCGGGGAGCAGGACUCCACCCAGCAGCCGCGGCUCCAGGCGCUGGAGAGCGCCCUGGGAGUUUCCACUGCGGCGACCCCUAAGUUUGUAGACUUGGGUCCAGCGUGA